ensembl:lncRNA
UUUUUUUUUUUUUUUUGGAGAGGAGCUGACCCAAUAAUCCAGUCCUUGAGAUUGCUUGUCAUUUAAGGAUUGGAAAGGUAGUUAUUGAUAAGAAUUCUGUUUUUGAAAAGCAGAAGCAUCAUAACUAGAGUCUCCUUCUAACUUUGAAGAGCAAAUAAAGAGUCCAUCCCUUCUUUGGUAUGAGGUUUCUUAAACUUAACUAUAGCAGAGCCAGAAGAAGUAAGGAUUGUAAAAUUGGCUUCUUUGAAUGUUAGAGUUGUUCUUGAAUCAGGCUGUGUCCUAGCAUCAAAAAACUGGAACAUGACAAAAGGCUAAUUGAGGAUAAAUCAAUGAAGGGACUGUUUUCAAAGGCAAAAUUAAGGAAACCAUUAAAGGCUGGUGAGGCCCCCUGGGAAGAACAAUGGUGGGAAGAUAAUAUCACCUUAGUGAGGUAGAGGUGUAGAAAUAGGAAGAGUUGCCCUAACCUGUAAAAGCUGUAUCUGCAGGAUAAGGGCUGUCCAAUAGGGGAGAAUAUUCCUGCCAUGGACAGAGUCUCCACAGGGAAGGAGAUGGGGGAAUACACACCACACUUCUUUCUCUUAUUAACUCCUAAUCUACAUAUUAUGCCACAGUUUCUCCAAAACCAGCCAAGACCAGGAAGCUUGGUUAAACCAGGCCCAGCAUCUUCUAGGACACAGAGCAGGAUGGAGAAAGAUGAAGAGAGACCUGGAAGGGAAAAUGGAGAAUAGAUAGCAUGUUCCAUAUUUAAGGUUAUUUAUUCUUGGAAAUAUACCCCCAAAUGAUGAGCUUCCAUGUUAUCAUAGAUAAGUUUACUAAGACUCAAAUGCUUCCAUAAUUUUGCCCAAUAGAUCCAAAUAAGGAUCUGACUUCAACCUCUUCGUCUCUUUCCCCUGUACCAUGCUGGUACUUUUCCUUUGUUUCCAAAGAUAAUGUUUGUGAAAGAUAAUCCACAGAAGGGGAAAAAUAUGCUAUUAUAUCACCUGUCCUCUUACUUGGAAUUCUACUAUGUAUAACUUGCUGAUCCUUGUUUCACAAAGAGACCAGCAGGAUUAACAGAAGUAACUCAUCAGAAUUUCUCAAGCAAAUUGUCUCAAUUCUACUGUUUUCCACGGCUGUAGUUUCUCUGGGAUUCCUAAAUAGGAAGGAAAGUCUGAGCCAAGUGUUCUGGGAAAGUUCUGAAAUGGCAUUCUGGGAACUUUCUGCCAUUAGUAAAAUGGAUCUCAAAGGCACAUUGUAAAGUUUGAAGAUAGACCACUGCCGACAAAUUAUAGAUUUAUUUAAUACACUUGUUUUGUUGUAUAUGUAAUUUAGACUUCUUAUGGAUUCUUUAUAGUAAUAUAAAACAGAUCUCAGUUUUUAAGCUCUCACCAAAAGGCUCUAAAACUCUCUUUUAAAAUAAUGAGUUUGAGUAGGUCAAAUAAUUGAAUGUUUAAAAGCAGGAAGAUACAGUAUGCUCAGUCUCAUGUGACAUACCUUUCACAAAUAUUUUCACUUUAAAAUUUUUAGCUAUUUAUCUUUAAAUAAUUUCAGCCUUAUAAAAAAGUUGCAAAAACUAUUCAUAUACCCUCAUUAAGAUUCCUCAAAUGUUAAUAUUUUCACAUCUGCUCUCUCUUGCCCUCCCUCCCUCUCUCUCACACACACAUGCUCACAGAUACACACUAUUAUUUUUUUCUGAGCAACUGGAGAAUAACUUACAGAUAUGUGUAAACUUACUUCUAAAUAUCUCAGUGUACACUUUCUAAAAUCAAGGGUAUUUCUGUAUAUAACCACAAUACAAUUAUAAAAAUCAGUGAUAGGAUUCCUGCUGUGGCACCAUGGGUUAAGAAUCCGACCGCAGAGGCUCAGUUCACUGCGAAGUUUUAGGUUUGAUCCCUGGCUUGGUUCAGUCAAUUAAGGAUCCCAAUAGAUUGAAACUGUGUCUCAGAUU